AGAUUGAACGCUGGCGGCAUGCCUAACACAUGCAAGUCGAACGGGAGUAGCAAUACUCUAGUGGCGGACGGGUGAGGAAUACGUGGGAAUUUGCCCUUAAGUGGGGGAUAACCCGGGGAAACCCGGAUUAAUACCGCAUGACCUCGAAAGAGCAAAGUGGGGGAUCGCAAGACCUCACGCUUUUGGAGAAGCCUACGUCGGAUUAGCUAGUUGGUGAGGUAAUGGCUCACCAAGGCGACGAUCCGUAACUGGUCUGAGAGGAUGAUCAGUCACACCGGAACUGAGACACGGUCCGGACUCCUACGGGAGGCAGCAGUGGGGAAUAUUGGACAAUGGGCGCAAGCCUGAUCCAGCAAUGCCGCGUGUGUGAAGAAGGCCUUCGGUUGUAAAGCACGUUUAAGUUGGGAAAGAAAAACCCGACUACUAACACAAGUGAGUCUUAGACGUACCGACUAGAAUAAGCAACCGACUAACUCUGUCGCCAGCAAGCCGAC
rnacentral:rRNA from 1 species